rnacentral:rRNA from 1 species
CGAUCCACGGCCCGGAGCACUAUAUAACCUGCGCGCCACAGGCCACAAUGGAGACAUCAAUUGGAGAGCACACUAGGAAAGCACAUAGGCAGUGCUGAUCUAUCCUCAUCGAUCGAUCCAUCCAUCGUGGCCGGCCACAGCCAUUAAGCCGACCCGUCCAUCCGUCGAGCGCCGUCGCCAUCGCGCGUUUAUCGCCGUCCGGUGGAUCGUGGAGGCCGCAUAAGUACCACGCCUCCAGCCGCUAGCCUGCGCCGGUAGCUUGCCAGCCAGGGAGAGAGGGAAGCAAAAACCAUGCCGUCGUCUCCGACCUCGGUCCACUGGCUGAGCCUGGUGGGGAGCGUCUGGCUGCAGACCAUCAACGGCCCCAACUCCGACUUCCCCGUCUACUCGUCGGAGCUCAAGACGGUCAAGGGCAUCUCCCAGGUGCAGCUCAACUUCCUCGCCUUCGCCUCCGACGCCGGGAAGCUCUUCGGCUGGUUCGCCGGCGUCGCCGCGCUCUACGUGCCUCUCUGGCUCGUGGCCGUCGUCGGCGCCGCCUUCGGGCUCGUGGGGUACGGCGUGCAGUUCCUGUUCCUGGACAGCCCCCGGCUCGCCUACUGGCACCUGUUCGCGCUCACCUCCCUCGCCGGCAACGGCAUCUGCUGGAUCAACACCGUCUGCUACCUCCUCUGCAUCAACAACUUCCCCUCCGACAGCCGCGUCGCCGUCAGCCUCGCCACCAGCUACCUCGGCCUCAGCGCCAAGUUCUACACCACCAUGGAAGACACGCUCAAGGGGCUCCGCUACUCCCAGGCCAAGAAGUACCUGCUCCUCAAUGCCGUCGUGCCCAUGCUCGUCACCCUCCUCGUGGUGCCGUCGCUCCGGGUGGUGAAGCCCGGGAGCGGCAAGAGGACCGACUUCGGGUUCUUCGCCAUGUUCGCCAUCACCCUGGCCACCGGAGCGUGCGCCGUCGUGGGCAGCAUCGGGUCCAAGUCCCUCGGGGUCUCGUCCAAGGAGCACCUGAUCAGCCUCUACGUGAUGCUCGCCGUCCCGAUCCUGAUCCCGGUGGCGCUGAGGGUCCGGGAGAGCAUGGCCAAGAUACGGGCGGCGGCCAACAAGAGGGUGCACAGAGUGCACGACCUCGGCGAGAACGGCAUGUGCUGGCUCAACAAGGAGAUUGAGGUGGCCACCAACGUCAAGGAGGAGGAGGAGGAGGUGAAGGAGGCCGGCAGCGUGGAGCAUGGAGGUCAGGAGGAGCUCGGCGGCCUCGGGCUGCUACGGAGGCUCGACUUCUGGAUGUACUUCUUCAGCUACAUGUUCAGUGGCACGCUGGGCCUGGUCUUCCUCAACAACCUGGGCCAGAUCGCCGACUCCCGCGGCCUCGGCGACCCCUCCACUCUGGUCUCCCUGUCGUCCUCCUUCGGAUUCUUCGGCCGCCUCCUUCCCGCCUUCCUGGACUACUACACCGCAAAGAGCGGCUACUCGAUAUCGAGGACGGCGUCGAUGGCGUCGCUGAUGGCGCCGAUGGCCGGGGCCUUCUUCCUGCUGAUGGACCCGAGGGACAUGCUGCUGUACACGAGCACGGCGGUGAUCGGGACGUGCACGGGCGCCAUCACGUCGGUGGCGGUGUCGGCGACGAGCGAGCUGUUCGGCACCAAGAACUUCGGGGUGAACCACAACGUGCUGGUGGCCAACAUCCCCGUCGGCUCGCUCUGCUUCGGCUACCUCGCCGGGUUCCUCUACCAGCGGGAGGCGCGCGGGGGCAACCGCUGCGUCGGCGCCGCCUGCUACCGGGACACCUUCCUGCUCUGGGGCCUCACGUGCGCCGUCGGGACGGCGCUCUGCGCCGCCCUCUACGCGCGCUCCGGCAAGAGGAGCGGCGCUAACAAAGGACCGGAAGUUUCUGGUAGCGCAGGGGUGUAGCUCUAGGCGCCACAUGAUCGAGUGAAUAAAAGAAAAGAUCUCCGUAGCUAGGUGAUGUAACAUCUUUCUUGUUUCUUCCCCUUCUUUUUUCCACUAGGGAAACAUUCUGUUUGUUUUGUUUGGUUAGUUUCUUGACUAAACUUCUCUGUAGAGGAUCUGCGAAGCUCGACGCAUGUAAAAGAACAACAGAGCACAAGCAUAUAUAUAGAACUGGAUGCUGAAAUUCACCGUUUGUUUGAAUAAAGUUACCGGUGAAUUCUCUGUUAAAAUGGAACUUUGGAUGCAAAUUUUACAAGUUUUCUGUGAAUCGUCGAUCCAACCAGAUUUCGAAACGUCGGGGUACAUCUACCGGCAAGUUGUUAUCAGGCAUAAAUAGACAGUUUGUUCGCCUGUCUCGACAUGCCAAAUGGAGUUCAGUUCAGUCUUUAUUUUGUUCUUGCACCUUGUAGGCUUCACGUUUCUGAACUCGGCUAAUGGAUGAUGCAUUUGCCCUUGUAACGGAGGUUCAGAUAUGUAAGGCGCCAACAUAUCUAUCCUACAAUAGUAUAAUAGUUGCAUGUGGAUCAUGUCGCGAUCAAGACAAAGUUUUACCCGGUCUAUCGGUACUCUCAUACUCUGCUGUGGCUGAAAAAAAUGCCUGCUUCUGUGGUGGACUGGUGGUCCUUGAAAAAGACACCACCGGAGAAAUGAGACGUCAUUGAGGGUGGAGUGCGACGAACCACAUGUUAAUAUUUGACGAAGAAGAUCUCAAAAAAAAGAAGUUUGAUGCAGACCGUUCCAAUACACAAACUAAUCUGUGGUUGGAUUGUUAGGAGGAUAGUGGUAUUCAAUGCCCAUCAGAGUUCAGGUCCCAGACUUGACAUUCGUGCUCGUAUUUUCCGAGAUUUUAUUCCUGCUGUGUUCAUAG